AUAUUAUUAUAUGUUUGAGUCGUUGGUUAGUGGGUUUGCGUGCCUUUCGCACCAUGCUAUUCUGAGUUUACGGCGUAAAGCCCUCAACCGAAAAGACCAGAUCUCCCACACAGUCGUGCGGUACUCUAGGUGGGUUAUUUUUGUUAACUGUGUGGGCGUGGUGAUAAAUUAGUCGUUGGUCUUUAUAUCUGUUUAUCGGGUUUAGUUUUCUUUUUAUUGUGCUAGUGAUGAGAUUAGCACAAUGUCUAUAUAAGGGGUUGUGUGUAUUGUAGCUUAGGUUGGGAUUACCUGUGUGUCAUCGAGUGUGUCGUGAUUCAGUAGAAGCCUGUUUUGAUUAGCUAAACACCCCGUGUUGUUUAAAUUCAUUUGGUGAUUUAUGGUUUAAUAAGUAAUUAUAACAG
rnacentral:rRNA from 1 species